GACAGAGGAUGCAAGCGUUAUCCGGAAUUAUUGGGCGUAAAGAGCUUGUAGGCGGUUUGUCGCGUCUGCCGUGAAAAUUCGAGGCUCAACCUCGAACUUGCGGUGGGUACGGGCAGACUAGAGUGUGGUAGGGGAGACUGGAAUUCCUGGUGUAGCGGUGAAAUGCGCAGAUAUCAGGAGGAACACCGAUGGCGAAGGCAGGUCUCUGGGCCACUACUGACGCUGAGAAGCGAAAGCAUGGGGAGCGAACAGG
rnacentral:rRNA from 1 species